GCUGUUUGCUCAGCAAGGGACAGCAUCGUGUUCAGAAAUACCAAGGGGAGAUGCAAUUUUUGGAGAGCAGGUGCCCUCUUGGGAAGAUGUUGCAUCACACAGCUCUCCAAGGCAAGCUAGGAUGCUUGGGCUGGAAGUCUGAUGAGUCUUUCAGAUGCUUCUAGAACUUCAGGACCGAUGGUCUCUGCUAACUUUAGUUGGAAUCAUCAUCAGACGAAAGAGAAGAGUGCGAUAUCCUAAAUGACACCUGUGGUAAAAGAAGAUCCUGGCUUCUUGGGAAGGACUGAAGGCAGCUGAGUGGUGGUAUUGGUAAUGACUGGAAAACUGGAGGGGAAACCCCAGAAGCCAUGCGCACAGUAAGGAUGUUUGUACAGAGGUUUACACACCACCAGGAAAAAAGGAAAAAGAAAGAACUCAGAUCUGCUGAUGAGUCAGC
rnacentral:lncRNA from 1 species